UACGAAGGGGGCUAGCAUUGCUCGGAAUCACUGGGCGUAAAGCGCACGUAGGCGGGUCUUUAAGUCAGGGGUGAAAUCCUGGAGCUCAACUCCAGAACUGCCUUUGAUACUGAGGAUCUUGAGUUCGGGAGAGGUGAGUGGAACUGCGAGUGUAGAGGUGAAAUUCGUAGAUAUUCGCAAGAACACCAGUGGCGAAGGCGGCUCACUGGCCCGAUACUGACGCUGAGGCACGGAAAGCGUGGGGAGCAAACAGG
rnacentral:rRNA from 1 species